GUUAACCACCAAACUAGAUGCUCCCUAAGAUAGUAUGAGUCUUACCUGAUGUGAGCAAAAUGGGGGCCCUGUGGCUUGCCAGGUGGUCACUGGUAAAUUGCACAAGGCUUACUCCAGUGGUGACUGGGUGGGGAGAAGGGAAGCGCACUUAUAUAGACUCAUGUAUAAAUAGAUACUUGUAAUAUACGAGCAUCUGCUCUGUGGAAGAUGUUUUUUUCCAGGCCCAGAAGUGUAAGAUCCGGUGCCUAUCUUCAGGCGGGUGGCAAACAAACAUCACAUAAAGGAGAGUGUCUGGCUUGUGUCUUCUGGGUACGUGAUCCCCCUGACUUCAGUGUGAGAAUGUGGCCAGAGCGUCUGGGGAAGACAGGGAGAGUUGUCAGAGAGGAGUUUUGAGGAGGCCCUGAAGGCUCGCCGGCUGUUAAGGCCUGAGCUGUAGUGGGCAAGAAGAGAUGGCCAGUUCAGGUAGAGGAAGCCUGCUUUGAGCUGAAGACCGGAGGUGAAUCUGGACAGGGCUUCCCAGGACCAGUGGAAUCAGAGGUUUCUGGCUGACUCGGUGGGUGCUUUGAACCAGGAAAGGACAAGAAAGAGGAUGGGAAGGACUGAUCCACAUUCCCACCAGGAAGUUUAGCAGAACCCCCGCGUGCCACCUGGACCCCUUGGAAGGACCUGGCUCAGGCUGGACCACCUCUUGAGAGGCAGGAGCUCUGGAUUUGAUCAAGAAUUCUUUGCUGAGCAUGGUGCCUCAUGCCUAUAAUCCCAACACUUUGGGAGGCCAGUGUGGGAGGAUCUCUUGAGCCCAGGAGUUCAAGACUAGCCUGGGCAACACAGAGAGACCCCAUCUCUAAAAUAAUAAUAAUAAUAAAAUAAAAAAUUAGCAGGGCAUGGUGGCAUGUGCCUGUAGUCCCAGCUACCCAGGAGGCUGAGGCAAGAGGAUGGCUGGAGCCUGGGAUGUUGAGGCUGCAAUGAACUGUGAUUACCCCACUGCACUCCAGCCUGGGCAAAAGAGCGAGAGACCCUGUCUCAAAUAAUAAUAAUAAUAAUAAUCUUAUUUUGGAGAAUAAAGAGACCUCUGGAUUUGAGGUGCCAUUUGGGUAGAAAGAAAAGACGUUUACACCGAGAAAUAGUCUGUGUUGCCCUGAAGGAGCAGAGGGAUGCAUCGCUGGAGGUGACCUACAGUUGAAGAAGACUCAUUAUGACAGACCUUGUCCUUCUUCCUUGUGGAAAGUGUUUCCUCUGCUGCUACUGCUCAUGAGACUCUUCCCCCUCCCUGUCCCAGGGAACCAAAGGGCUUUCUACCACACCCUUUCUUGCCCCCCGCCUCCCAUGUCUGCUGUGCCUUUGUACUCAGCAAUUCUUGUUUGCUCCAUUAUCUUCCAGCCGGAUACAGAGUGAAUAGUUAACCACACUUAGGUCAAAUAGGAUCUAAAUUUUUGUUCCUGCUCCGUGUAAAGAGGCCAGUGUUUGUGUGUUGCAAGCAGCCUUGGAAUAGUAACUCUUCUCAUUUGUUUGGGAUCUGGCCACCAAGUUCCAGAAUGAUACACGGAUCAGUGCAGAAGUUCAUCAGGCUCUCGGACCUUAGGGCUGUUGGAGAAGGCUUCAGCAGCAGAACUGAUGGUGAAGGCUCGUGUUCUCCAUCCUCAACUUUCUUUGCUUCGAUCAUACACAAGAAUACAUUUGGAAGGGCAAAAAAUGAACACUGUCGUUCAUUGCAGCCGUGUUUUGUGACACAGAUGCACAGUCUGCUGUGAAGACCUUCUCUCAAGUGGCAUUUGGGAGUCCAUGCCAGAUCAUGGUGCUUCAUGAGAGACUGACAGCUAUCAGGGGUUGUGGCACUUAGUGAGGACUCUCCUCCCCCAGUGUGUGCUGAUGACACAUACACACCUGACAAUAGCUUGAGUCUUCUCUGUUCCUUUUACUCUGUAGCCAACAUACACAUGAUUUAAAACCCUUUCUAAAUAUCUAUCAUGGUUCAUCCUUGUCCAAAUGCAGAGUCAGAGCUAUUUGUACUUCAUUAUUAUUUCCAAGGCGAAUAGUUGGCUUUCUUUUUGCAAAAAUAAUUAAAGUUUUUGUAUGUUGCA
ensembl:lncRNA LINC00511 long intergenic non-protein coding RNA 511